CUACAGGCUUAACACAUGCAAGUCGAGGGGCAUCAGGAAGAAAGCUUGCUUUCUUUGCUGGCGACCGGCGCACGGGUGAGUAACACGUAUCCAACCUGCCCUUUACUCGGGGAUAGCCUUUCGAAAGAAAGAUUAAUACCCGAUAGCAUAAUGAUUCCGCAUGGUUUCAUUAUUAAAGGAUUCCGGUAAAGGAUGGGGAUGCGUUCCAUUAGGUUGUUGGUGAGGUAACGGCCCACCAAGCCUUCGAUGGAUAGGGGUUCUGAGAGGAAGGUCCCCCACAUUGGAACUGAGACACGGUCCAAACUCCUACGGGAGGCAGCAGUGAGGAAUAUUGGUCAAUGGGCGCUAGCCUGAACCAGCCAAGUAGCGUGAAGGAUGAAGGCUCUAUGGGUCGUAAACUUCUUUUAUAUAAGAAUAAAGUGCAGUAUGUAUACUGUUUUGUAUGUAUUAUAUGAAUAAGGAUCGGCUAACUCCGUGCCAGCAGCCGCGGUAAUACGGAGGAUCCGAGCGUUAUCCGGAUUUAUUGGGUUUAAAGGGAGCGUAGGUGGACUGGUAAGUCAGUUGUGAAAGUUUGCGGCUCAACCGUAAAAUUGCAGUUGAUACUGUCAGUCUUGAGUACAGUAGAGGUGGGCGGAAUUCGUGGUGUAGCGGUGAAAUGCUUAGAUAUCACGAAGAACUCCGAUUGCGAAGGCAGCUCACUGGACUGCAACUGACACUGAUGCUCGAAAGUGUGGGUAUCAAACAGGAUUAGAUACCCUGGUAGUCCACACAGUAAACGAUGAAUACUCGCUGUUUGCGAUAUACAGUAAGCGGCCAAGCGAAAGCAUUAAGUAUUCCACCUGGGGAGUGCGCCGGCAACGGUGAAACUCAAAGGAAUUGACGGGGGCCCGCACAAGCGGAGGAACAUGUGGUUUAAUUCGAUGAUACGCGAGGAACCUUACCCGGGCUUAAAUUGCAGUGGAAUGAUGUGGAAACAUGUCAGUGAGCAAUCACCGCUGUGAAGGUGCUGCAUGGUUGUCGUCAGCUCGUGCCGUGAGGUGUCGGCUUAAGUGCCAUAACGAGCGCAACCCUUAUCUUUAGUUACUAACAGGUUAUGCUGAGGACUCUAGAGAGACUGCCGUCGUAAGAUGUGAGGAAGGUGGGGAUGACGUCAAAUCAGCACGGCCCUUACGUCCGGGGCUACACACGUGUUACAAUGGGGGGUACAGAAGGCAGCUAGCGGGUGACCGUAUGCUAAUCCCAAAAUCCUCUCUCAGUUCGGAUCGAAGUCUGCAACCCGACUUCGUGAAGCUGGAUUCGCUAGUAAUCGCGCAUCAGCCACGGCGCGGUGAAUACGUUCCCGGGCCUUGUACACACCGCCCGUCAAGCCAUGGGAGCCGGGGGUACCUGAAGUACGUAACCGCAAGGAUCGUCCUAGGGUAAAACUGGUGACUGGGGCUAA
rnacentral:rRNA from 1 species